UACGUAGGGCGCAAGCGUUGUCCGGAAUUAUUGGGCGUAAAGAGCUCGUAGGCGGCCUGUUACGUCUGCUGUGAAAUCCCGGGGCUUAACCCCGGGCGUGCAGUGGAUACGGGCAGGCUGGAGGCAGGCAGGGGAGAACGGAAUUCCCGGUGUAGCGGUGAAAUGCGCAGAUAUCGGGAGGAACACCAGUGGCGAAGGCGGCUCUCUGGGCCUGCCCUGACGCUCAGGCGCGAAAGCUAGGGGAGCGAACAGG
rnacentral:rRNA from 1 species